rnacentral:tRNA from 1 species
GUGGCAGUAGCCCAGUGGUAGAGCCCCGGCUUCGCAUGCGGGGAGACCUGGGUUCGAUCCCCGGCUGCUUCC